rnacentral:lncRNA from 1 species
UUUUUUAAUAACCCCAAUUAAACAGAAAUAGAAACUUUCUUAAACUGGAAAAAGGCAGGAUGCUUUCUAUUUAACAAUGCUCUAGAGGUGCCAAUCAACACAAUUAGACCAGAAAAACAUGAUAUGUAAGUAUCAGAACGAUUUGAAAUCAUACUGACAAAACUACUUGGAGCGAGUGUUAUCUACUAAAUCCAAGAGAAUUAACUGCAAACUGUUAAAACCAAUAGAACUUCAGCAAAGUGGCUGAAAGCAACACAGCAAGCAUAACCAGUUAGAAAAUAAAAGAACAACAAUGUUUGAAUGAUAUUAAAGUUUGAAUUUUUUUAAAAGAUGCAAAGCGGAUUCUUAUGAAGAAAAUAAUAAAAUUGUAUUGAAGGGAUGGCUGUUUAAAACCUAUCUCAGUGGGCAGCCUCAGUAUUAUUAUAAAGAUGUUGGUAUUUUGAGUAAGAGAAAACAAGAACAGCCAGGAAUAAUAAGGUAUGUUAGAAAGAAAACGGGAAAUUUUCAGACCAAAUAUAAAAACAUGUUACACAGGUAAAGUAAUUACAUAGAUGUUAGCUAAAGGCAUGGACAAAGAGACCCAGGUAGAUAAAGAGACUUGGUUCAUGCUACUUGUGGCAUCCCAAACGAGGAGAGAGGAGAAACUAUACAAUAAAUUAAGAAAAGUAACUAUGGGGGAUCCCUGGGUGGCUCAGUGGUUUAGCGCCUGCCUUUGGCCCAGGGUGUGAUCCUGGAGUCCCAGGGAUCAAGUCCCACAUCAGGCUCCCUGCAUGGAGCCUGCUUCUCCCUCUGCCUGUGUCUCUGUCUCUGCCUCUCUCUCUCUCUCUCUGUGUCUCUCAAGAAUAAAUAAAAUCUCAAAACAAACAAACAAACUAUGCACUGAAGAAAAAAUUAAGUCACACCAUAAUCAUACACAUUAUACAAAAAUAGUCCCCAGAUGGAUUAAAUGAUGUAAAAAAACCCAACAACUAUGUAUUAGAAGAAAACGGAAAUAUUUUCAAAAUCUUGUAGUAAGCACAAAACCCAUAAUGAAAAAUACCCACAGAUUUGAGCUUACAAAGGGGAAACACUUCUAUUACAGGACAGAAAAUCCCACUCUAAAAAGCUUAAAUUGACCCACUAAAGGUAUCCUCCACAUAUUUAAUAAGAGAAUAAUGUGAGAAUAAGAAAGAUGGUAAGCCCACUUUUAGCACACACAGCAGUCUCUGUGUAUCCACAAUGGGGUACAUCUAAGACCCCCAGAGGAUGCCUGAUGUGGAUAGGACAGAACCCUAGAUAUACACUAUGCUUUCCCCCUAAUGCAUACAUACCUAUGGUAUAAUUUAAUUACAGAUUAAGCACUUUAAGAGAUUAACAACUACUAAUGAACAAUUGUAACAAUGUAUUGUAAUAAAAAUUAUGUGAAUGUGGUCUCUCUCAAAAUAUUGAACUGGAUUCACUCUUCUUGUUAGGAUGAUGUGAGAUGAUAAAAUGCCUAUUUGAGGAGAUGAAGUGAUGUGAAUGAGGCAGACACUGUGACAACUCAAGGCUACUACUGAGAGUCUGACAGUAUGAAGAUCACCUGUUCCUAGACUGCGGUUGACCGUGGGUAGCUCAAACUGCAGAAAGUGAAACCCAGAUAAGAGGGGACUACUGUCUGUGAACCCAAAACAACAGUACCUUUUUGUCCAUAACCCAUCCCUAUCUCCCUUUUACCUAGAGAGAAUGAUGAAAAAAAAAGCUAAAUAGGAAAAUGGGUAAAGAAUGUGAACAAUUCAUAGAACAGAAAUAAUCAAAAUGAAAACGUAUUCAACAAUGUGGUUUCAUUUGUAAUUGGAGAAACGAAAAUGAAAACAAAAUAAUUAUGUAACCACUGGACUGACAAAAAAAGCAUUAAUUGCACACAUUAAUUGCUGAAAAGCACACUUUUCAGAAAGCAAUUGGGCAGAAUUAAUCAUUUAAAGGAGCAUCGCAAUUCUCUACAUAGGAACUUAUUUCUUACAGGAAACUUGGAACCUUAGCACAAAGACAUAUACAGAAAUGAUCAUUUACUGCAUUGUUUCUAACAGUGAAAAAUGCAAAUAACCGAAAUGCUCAACAGAAUACUAAUUAAAUCACGGCACACCCAUAUAAUGGGUAUUAUGCAGUUGUCAAAAGGGUGGGAUAAACCCUUACAUGUGGAUAGCCUUAUGAGAAUGUUAAGUAGAAAGUUGUAGGAAAAAAAAAAGGUUGUAGAAAGGUAUAGUAUGAUCCCACUUACAUAAAAAGAUAAUAGGUAUAUAUGAGUCAGAAAGUGCAACAGACUGAAAUCUUGAUUUAGUGAACUAAAGAGUGAUUUCCAUAUUUUGCUCUCAAUGUCUGUGUUGUUUCUACCUCCUUUCUAUAGGAAAGUAUUUAGGAAGUCCCUGUGUACAUUUUUAAAUGGAUAAAGACAUUUAACUGUUAAUUAACGUGAAUGUUCUCUGCCUAUUUGAAUAAUGGAACUAUAGAACUCAGUUCUAACAAUUUCCCAUUAUGAACGGUUUGAGUCUUGCAGACAAGGUAAUUGCCUCUUUAGAGCAAACUAGUAAGCUUAUCUUCUUAUAUUACAAUGAACUGGACCCUGUUUAUAGUCCCUUAACUGUAUGUAUUAUAUACUCUUUGAAAGCUGUCAUGUUAAAUGUCUUCAUAGUUUCAUAUUUUUAUUCUUUUAGAAUAAAAGUCAUCAGUAGCUCUAAAGUCAUCAGUAGUUCCCUCUGUUGGCUUUAGAAUUCAAAGCCCUACCCAAUGUUUCUCAUACUACUUGUGCAAAGUAUCUCCUCACUACCCAACCACAACUCAAAGUUCUCCAUCUCAGCCAAAUGGGUCUCUGGGUUCCCAAAUGAACAGAUCUACUAUGCACCCAACCCCCAUUCACACAUCAUCUGUAAGGUGUUAGACAUAUGACUAGCUCUCCAGGAAUUUUUCACCCAAGAUUUUAUACAAAACUAUAAGCAUUCAUGAGCUAUAAUGCAGAUUAUAUACUGAACCCAGUUAAACACAUUAGCUGUAAUGUGAAUGUAAAUUGUGGGGGUACCUGGGUGGCUCAGUUGGUUAAGCCUCUUGAUUUUGGCUCAGGUCAUGAUCUCAG